CUUCCAUAAACAGGAGUGCCUGAAGGAACCAUUGAUGCUUCGAUUCUCUCAUGAAGUAGGAACACUUUAAGAACUCUGUCAGUAGAAGCUGAUUUCUGAGAGGAGAGUGGUGACUGACUCCAGGAGUACAGCCAGCAGUCCGUCUGCAGCUGAGUGCCAGCAUGGGAGGAGUAGACAGAAGGUUAACUGCUGAGGACAAACAAUACAAAAAAUGCUAACAAUAUUUGGAUACCGCUUACCUCUGAGGCAGUUCUUCUGGAAAUUAUAAAUAUAUUUCUUCCUAGGGAUCAAAAGGAAGCACAUCAAAAUGAAAGAUGAAGUCAACAAACUGAAUUUGCAGCUGUUAUAUAUAAACUAGGGGAAGGACUGUAAAAUUUCUUGUUCUAAUCCACUUUAAACAGGGUUUGUGGAUAGCAAUCUGAAAAUGUUACAUUUGAAAUAAUACUGUACAUCCUCCUCUUUCCCACAGAGUGUGUAAAUGAUUACAAACAAUCAGUUUUUCAU